GCCAGACUCCUACGGGAGGCAGCAGUGGGGAAUAUUGGACAAUGGGGGGAACCCUGAUCCAGCGACGCCGCGUGAGUGAAGAAGUAUUUCGGUAUGCAAAGCUCUAUCAGCAGGGAAGAAAGAAAUGACGGUACCUGACUAAGAAGCCCCGGCUAACUACGUGCCAGCAGCCGCGGUAAUACGUAGGGGGCAAGCGUUAUCCGGGUUUACUGGGUGUAAAGGGGGCGCAGACGGCAAUGCAAGCCAGGAGUGAAAGCCCGGGGCCCAACCCCGGGAGUGCUCUUGGAACUGCAGGGCUGGAGUACAGGAGGGGCAGGCGGAAUUCCUAGUGUAGCGGUGAAAUGCGUAGAUAUUAGGAGGAACACCGGUGGCGAAGGCGGCCUGCUGGACUGCGACUGACGUUGAGGCCCGAAAGCGUGGGGAGCAAACAGGAUUAGAUACCCGCGUAUG
rnacentral:rRNA from 1 species